rnacentral:lncRNA from 1 species
UGUGUCUUCACAUGGUCUUCCUUCUGCACUUGUCUGUCUCUUAAUUUCUUCUUGUAAGAACACCCAUCAUUGCAUUAGGGCCUGCCCUAGUGACCCCAUUUUAACUUAAUUAUCUGUUUAAAGACUUUAUGUCUGAGUUUAAUUAAGCUAAUACAACAAAAUACCUUAGACUGGGUAAUUUAUAAACAUCAGAAACUUAUUGCUCAUAAUUCUAGACACUGGGAAGUCCAAAAUGAAGGCACCAGCAGAGUCAGUGUCUGGUGAUGGCUCACUCUGCUUCAAAGAUGAUGCCUUCUCAAGUGUCCUCACAAGGUGAAAGGGUGAGGCAUCUCUCUGGGGUCUCUUUUAUCAGGACAGCAAUCUCAUUCACAACAGCAGAGCCCUCAUGACCUAAUCAUCUCCCAAAGGUCCCACCCCCUAAUAUCAUCACCUUGGUGAGUAGGUUUCAAUAUAUGAAUGUUGUGGGUAUGCAAACAUUCAGAUGAUAGUACCUUAUCUCUAAAUACAGUUACAUUCUGGGGUACAGUGGGCUUUGACAUAUAAAUUUGUGGGUUGUGGGGAAGCGGGCAUUUUUCAGCUCCUAACACUCACCUUUCUAUAUUAUCCCUUUGUAUCAUACCCUCCCCUUGGGUGGGAAAUUUGACUUGAUUCUAAUCUAUAGAAUAUGACAAAAGUGAUAGGAGUCACUUUAUCACUUCAUGAUUAUGUCACAUGAUAAAAUAACCUGUCUUGUUCUAGAGAUUUUCUGUCUCUCUUAUAGACUUUGAAAAAGUGAAGUGGCCAUGUUAGGAGGCCCAGAUGGUAAGGAGCUGAGGGAGGCCUCCAGGAAAUGGCCAGCAAGAAGCCGGCUCCCUCAGCCUUGUAGCUACAAGAAAAUGAAUUCUGCCAGCAAUCUGAGUGAACUUGGAAGCUGAUUCUUCCUCUGUCAAGCCUCCAGAUGAGAAUCUCAGUCACAGCCAACACCUUGACUGCAGUCCUUAGCAGAGGACUCUGCCAAGCUGUGCCAGGACUCCUGACCUGCAGAAAUUGUGAGGCCUUUGUUUGGGUCACAGAAUAUCUUGAAUGCAGAGCUCACACAGGUUGUGAUAGGCUUUACUUCUAUCACUAACUGGAAACAAAGAAAAUCUACACUGAAGGAAACCUUUUCAAGUCGAACUUCUGUCAAGCAAUUGGAGGAGCAUGUGGUUUUGUGGUCAUGUGGAUUCGCUAUAUGGAAUAUGAUUGAAGGAUGAUUAUAAUUACAGAAAUUAUAGGUACUAACUUUCCAUAUUUUUGGGCUUUAUACAAAUUUCUGCAAAGUUCCAGAGAAUUGCCUUUACCAAUGAAUGUUUCCUAAAAUGUGUUGUCUAUUCAUUAUCUCUUCCUUUCUUCUCUACAUCUACUAUUAGUAAGAGUUCUAAUAUAAGAGUGCUGCAAUGAUGAUAUAUAAAUGACAACUCAAUUGAACAAAACUAUUCAAUAAAAUGAAUUUGCAUUUAAAUAUCAUAUUUUAAGAGAUAAAAAAGUUUAUGAUAAUAAAAUGGGAAUGCAGUCUACUACAGGGAAAAUAACUAGGACUUAGAAUCUGUAACAACCAGAGACUGAAUCCUGCCAAUUACUUUAUCAGAGGCUUUGGGCUAAUUACCUCAACUUUCUUUCCUGAACCUCAGGUUAGUCAUCUGUAAAAAAACAAAAAUAAAAAAAUUUUAAUAACGACAUGCAAUAUUUUCAAUAUGCAAAAUUAUAAGUUUAGGAAAAAAUUGAUUUGAAUUGUUUAGGAAGAUCUAUUUUUCUACAAUUGUGGUAAAACAAUUUAAAUAAGACAAGAGCAUAUGUAUGACAUAGGUGUAAUAAUGCAUAUCCCAAAAAUUCAUUUGAAAAAUAUUUGAUGAACCAUUUGUAUGUAUAACACACUCUUCUUAAAAUCUAGAGAUAUGACAGAGCAAGAUAUGGUCCCUGACUCAUGGAUCUUACAUUAGUAUUGGAAAGAAGCCUAUUAAACUCUCCAUCCUAUCAGCUUCAAUUUCAGCUAUUAGCUUUACUUUCUACUGUCUUUUUCAAGUCAAGAUCAAAUGGAGAGCAAAGGGAGUGCACCUUUCCUCUGCAGUUCCAUCACUGUUCAACAUAAUCAUCUCUACCUACAUUUCAGAACAAUUCUGAAUAUUAAUAAGACAAUGUCUAUGAGAUGAGCUCAUCUGGGAAAGCAUAAUAUAAGUGUAAGCCAUUAUAAUUUAUUGCUUCUCAAAUGUUAUAUAAGAUAUUCAACUGGAUAUGUUAUUAAUAAAAAAUUAUAAUAAAGAGAAAUUUAGAAUGAGAAAACAUUUGGAAUUCUUCAUUACUUGAUAUGAAUAGUCUAUAAUCUUUUUAAGUCAUUCUGGCUUUAUGAGGCACUUUGUCUAUUGAGAUAGAUGGAGCAUCUAGAAAGGAAAAACUUUGACAUGCAUUUUGAGGCUCUUUUGAAGCAAAAGAAGAACAGAAAGUCUUUUGAGGUUUUUGGAUGUACUAGAUUGAACCAUAUGUAAUUACUGAGACAAUAUUUU